rnacentral:rRNA from 1 species
CUACGGAGGGUGCAAGCGUUAUUCGGAAUCACUGGGCGUAAAGGACGCGUAGGCGGGUUGGCAAGUCAGAUGUGAAAUCCUACAGCUUAACUGUAGAACUGCAUUUGAAACUGCUAACCUAGAGUAUGGGAGGGGGAGAUGGAAUUAGUGGUGUAGGGGUAAAAUCCGUAGAUAUCACUAGGAAUACCGAAAGCGAAGGCGAUCUCCUGGAACAUAACUGACGCUAAGGCGUGAAAGCGUGGGGAGCAAACAGGAUUAGAAACCCUUGUAGUCC